AAGGGGAUAUGGGAGAAGUGAGGGCACAGUGUACACUGCACUUUCUUGCUUUGCUGCUUCUUUGUUUCGGACUCUGCCUCUGUGUCUUCAGAAGCAUAACCAAAUAAUGGAAGCUGUGAGCGCGUGGGGUAACACGCCGUUGGCGACCGUGGACCCAGAAAUCCACGACCUCAUUGAGAAGGAGAAGCGUCGGCAGUGUCGGGGAAUCGAGCUCAUAGCGUCGGAGAACUUCACUUCCUUCGCCGUCAUAGAGGCGCUGGGGAGUGCCCUCACCAACAAGUACUCCGAGGGUAUGCCCGGCAACCGCUACUACGGUGGCAACGAGUUCAUCGAUCAGAUUGAGAACCUGUGCCGUUCCCGCGCCCUCGAGGCCUUCCAUCUCGAUCCCUCCCGAUGGGGCGUCAACGUCCAACCCUACUCAGGUUCUCCGGCCAACUUCGCCGCCUACACCGCUGUGCUCCAGCCCCACGACCGCAUCAUGGGCUUGGAUCUCCCCUCCGGUGGCCACCUCACCCACGGCUACUACACCUCCAGUGGGAAGAAGAUCUCUGCAACCUCCAUUUACUUUGAGAGUUUGCCUUACAAGGUGAGUUCCACCACCGGAUUCAUCGACUACGACAAGUUGGAGGAGAAAGCAUUGGAUUUCAGGCCCAAGCUGAUCAUCUGUGGUGGCAGUGCCUACCCUAGGGACUGGGACUAUGCCAGGUUCAGACAGGUAGCCGACAAGUGCGGUGCUCUCUUGCUCUGUGACAUGGCUCACAUCAGUGGUCUUGUUGCUGCUCAGGAAGCUAACAAUCCAUUCGAGUACUGUGACAUUGUGACCACAACGACCCACAAGAGCUUGAGGGGUCCUAGGGCCGGUAUGAUCUUCUACCGGAAGGGACCUAAACCGCCGAAGAAAGGGCAGGCUGAGAGUGCAGUGUACGAUUUUGAAGACAAAAUAAACUUUGCAGUGUUCCCUUCCCUCCAGGUGGGUCCUCACAAUCACCAGAUUGGGGCACUUGCUGUUGCAUUGAAACAGGCUAUGAGCCCUGGAUUCAAGGCAUACGCGAAGCAGGUUAAGGCAAAUGCAGUUGCACUUGGAAAUUACUUGAUGAACAAGGGUUACAGUCUUGUCACCGGAGGAACUGAGAACCACCUUGUCUUGUGGGAUCUCCGCCCCCUUGGCCUAACUGGCAACAAGGUAGAGAAACUCUGUGACCUCUGCAACAUUACUGUCAACAAAAAUGCUGUCUUUGGUGAUAGCAGUGCACUGGCUCCUGGAGGAGUGCGAAUUGGUGCCCCAGCCAUAUCCACCACCACCACCAUCUCUCACCGUUUUCCAUGUCUUGAAAUCGCGCCUCCUAAACCUAAACAUCCACAACACUUGCUCUCUCUUCUUCUCAAACAUCCUUCUCAACCCAAAAUUCUGCAACAAAUUCACUGUCACAUUAUCACCUCUGGCCUCUUUCACUACCCUUUUCACGACACCUCCACUUGUUUACUCCUCUUCAACAACGUCAUCCGCUGUUAUUCCCGUGGCCCUUCCCCCACCUAGCUCUUCACUUCUUUAGCUACACCCAACACUCCCACACUUUCUUCACAUACCCUUCCCUUGACACCUUCUCUUUUGCCUUUCUUUCUAACGCUUCUGCCAAUCCAACCUGCACCCACUUUGGGAUUCAACUCCACGCCCUCAUUUUCAAGGUUGGGUUUCAGUUUCAUGUGUACGUGCAAACUGGGCUGUUGCAAAUGUACUCAAGUUCGGGUCUUUUAGUUGAAGCCGCACAAGUGUUCUACCAAAUUCCGCGCAGAAGCUUAGUCACUUGGAAUGUUUUUCUCACUGGUUUGAUUAAAUGGGAGGAGGUUGAACUUGCACUUUCUGUGUUUGAUCAGAUGCCUUCUCGGAGUGUAGUGUCGUGGACCCUUGUUAUUGAUGGAUACACACGCAGGAAUCAGCCCAUGAAAGCUUUAACUUUGUUUAGGGAAAUGAUCGAAGUUGAUGGUAUAGAACCUACUCAAGUUACUCUUUUGACCAUUUUUCCUGCUAUUGCGAAUAUUGGGUGUAUUAAGAUAUGUCAAUCAGCUCAUGGAUAUGCGGAGAAGAGAGGGUUCAAUUCCUCUGACAUACGCAUUACCAAUGCCUUAAUUGAUUUGUAUGCAAAGUGUGGAUGCAUAGCAAGUGUGAAUAGAUUCUUGCAGGAGUUACCUGAUCAGAGGAAGAAUUUGGUAUCAUGGACUUCAGCAAUCUCUGGUUUUGCAAUGAAUGGGAUGGGGAGGGAAGCUCUAGAGACUUUUGAAAACAUGGAGAAGGCUGGACUUAGGCCAAACCGUGUGACAUUCCUUAGUGUUUUGAGUGCCUGUAGUCAUGGAGGAUUGGUUGAAGAAGGCCUCAAUUUUUUUGUUAAAAUGGUAAAGGAUUGUGAAGUUGUGCCAGAUAUCAAACACUACGGUUGUGUGAUAGAUAUGCUGGGGAGGGCUGGGAGGUUAGAAGAAGCAGAAAAGGUUGCUUCAGAGGUACCUCAUGAGGUUGCCAAUGCUGUGAUGUGGAGAACGUUGUUGGGUGCUUGCAGUGUUCAUAAUAAUGUUGAAAUUGGUCAGAGGGUGACCAGAAAGGUACUAGAGAUGGAGAGAGGACACGGUGGGGAUUAUGUUCUUAUGUCCAAUAUUCUUGUUGGUGUUGGGAGAUUUAAGGACGCUCAAAGGUUGAGAGAUAUGAUAGAUGAAAGAAUUGCAUUUAAACUUCCUGGCUAUAGUAUAGUCUAAAUGAUAUACAAGCGUCUAUUCUAAGCUCGUUUAUUC